rnacentral:rRNA from 1 species
UGCUGGAGGUAUCAGAAGUGCGAAUGCUGACAUAAGUAACGAUAAAGCGGGUGAAAAGCCCGCUCGCCGGAAGACCAAGGGUUCCUGUCCAACGUUAAUCGGGGCAGGGUGAGUCGACCCCUAAGGCGAGGCCGAAAGGCGUAGUCGAUGGGAAACAGGUUAAUAUUCCUGUACUUGGUGUUACUGCGAAGGGGGGACGGAGAAGGCUAUGUUAGCCGGGCGACGGUUGUCCCGGUUUAAGCAUGUAGGCGGAGGUUCCAGGUAAAUCCGGUACCUUUUAACGCUGAGGUGUGAUGACGAGGCACUACGGUGCUGAAGUAACAAAUGCCCUGCUUCCAGGAAAAGCCUCUAAGCAUCAGGUAACAUUAAAUCGUACCCCAAACCGACACAGGUGGUCAGGUAGAGAAUACCAAGGCGCUUGAGAGAACUCGGGUGAAGGAACUAGGCAAAAUGGUGCCGUAACUUCGGGAGAAGGCACGCUGGUGUGUAGGUGAAGUCCCUGCGGAUGGAGCUGAGACCAGUCGAAGAUACCAGCUGGCUGCAACUGUUUAUUAAAAACACAGCACUGUGCAAACACGAAAGUGGACGUAUACGGUGUGACGCCUGCCCGGUGCCGGAAGGUUAAUUGAUGGGGUUAUCCGUAAGGAGAAGCUCUUGAUCGAAGCCCCGGUAAACGGCGGCCGUAACUAUAACGGUCCUAAGGUAGCGAAAUUCCUUGUCGGGUAAGUUCCGACCUGCACGAAUGGCGUAAUGAUGGCCAGGCUGUCUCCACCCGAGACUCAGUGAAAUUGAACUCGCUGUGAAGAUGCAGUGUACCCGCGGCAAGACGGAAAGACCCCGUGAACCUUUACUAUAGCUUGACACUGAACAUUGAGCCUUGAUGUGUAGGAUAGGUGGGAGGCUUUGAAGCGUGGACGCCAGUCUGCGUGGAGCCAACCUUGAAAUACCACCCUUUAAUGUUUGAUGUUCUAACGUAGGCCCCUGACCGGGGUUGCGGACAGUGUCUGGUGGGUAGUUUGACUGGGGCGGUCUCCUCCCAAAGAGUAACGGAGGAGCACGAAGGUUAGCUAAUCCUGGUCGGACAUCAGGAGGUUAGUGCAAUGGCAUAAGCUAGCUUGACUGCGAGCGUGACGGCGCGAGCAGGUGCGAAAGCAGGUCAUAGUGAUCCGGUGGUUCUGAAUGGAAGGGCCAUCGCUCAACGGAUAAAAGGUACUCCGGGGAUAACAGGCUGAUACCGCCCAAGAGUUCAUAUCGACGGCGGUGUUUGGCACCUCGAUGUCGGCUCAUCACAUCCUGGGGCUGAAGUAGGUCCCAAGGGUAUGGCUGUUCGCCAUUUAAAGUGGUACGCGAGCUGGGUUUAGAACGUCGUGAGACAGUUCGGUCCCUAUCUGCCGUGGGCGCUGGAGAAUUGAGGGGGGCUGCUCCUAGUACGAGAGGACCGGAGUGGACGCAUCACUGGUGUUCGGGUUGUCAUGCCAAUGGCACUGCCCGGUAGCUAAAUGCGGAAGAGAUAAGUGCUGAAAGCAUCUAAGCACGAAACUUGCCCCGAGAUGAGUUCUCCCUGAGACUUUAAGUCUCCUGAAGGAACGUUGAAGACGACGACGUUGAUAGGCCGGGUGUGUAAGCGCAGCGAUGCGUUGAGCUAACCGGUACUAAUGAACCGUGAGGCUUAACCUUACAACGCCGAAGCUGUU